rnacentral:rRNA from 1 species
UACGGGGGGAGGCAAGCGUUGUUCGGAUUUACUGGGCGUAAAGGGCGCGUAGGCGGCCUCUGCAAGUCGACUGUGAAAUCUCCGGGCUUAACCCGGAAAGGUCAGCCGAUACUGCAGGGCUAGAGUGCAGAAGGGGCAACUGGAAUUCUCGGUGUAGCGGUGAAAUGCGUAGAUAUCGAGAGGAACACCUGCGGCGAAGGCGGGUUGCUGGGCUGACACUGACGCUGAGGCGCGAAAGCUAGGGGAGCGAACGGG